rnacentral:rRNA from 1 species
CCUACGGGAGGCAGCAGUGGGGAAUUUUGCGCAAUGCUCGUAAGAGUGACGCAGCGACGCCGCGUGAAUGACGAAGGCCUUCGGGUCGUAAAGUUCUUUCGACAGGGAAGAAAAUGCCUAUAAGUAACUGUGUAUGUAUUGACGGUACCUGUAUAAGCAGCCCCGGCUAACUCCGUGCCAGCAGCCGCGGUAAUACGGGGGGGGCGAGCGUUGUUCGGAGUGACUGGGCGUAAAGAGCACGUAGGCGGUGUUGUAAGUCAUUAGUCAAAGACUAGAGCACAACUUUAGUAAGGCUAGUGAUAGUAUAAUACAAGAGGAUUAGAGAGGAUAGAAGAAUUCCUGGUGGAGUGGUGAGAUGAGUAGA